CUUUCCUAUCAGAGGCAAAAAACUGGGCAGCUCACGUACACGUUUUGUAUGUGAGGAGCUUCCACUUGUCAAACGGAAACACGCAUAUAGCCUUGUGUUCUACCGCUACGACGUCCGUCGUCACUACUCACUGCAAUAGCCUUCGCCAGGACUUUUCCUGCCCACGAAUAAGUCCGCAAAAUGAAGGUGUUCGCUACUGUAUGUGUGGCUGCCGUUUUAUUGGGUACAUUAUGCGCCGAUCCUGUAUCCUUGGAUUGCUCUGAUGAGGUGGUUGUGCCUGUUCUGGAAGCUUGUAAACAGGAAAUGACUGCGAACCCUUUAUUGAAGCAUCUGUUGCUCACAGAGGACGAACCCCUCUUUCUCGAUUCAAGCAACGCUACCCAUCAUCGUGCGUUCUGCUGCGCUACUCAGAUGUCCUCCAACUGUAUUAGAAGACACCUAGAAGUACCGUGCCCUGUCCUUGUCGCGGAGGUGGUGCGCAUGAUGAACAGAGACCUCAAGGGUAUAUUUGCAAACAAGAUAUGCGAUCCCACCCCAUGCUAAGAGCUGACAACCGCAUAUCCUGCGUCAUGAAGCCAGACACAUUUACAGGAGGGAUACCUUGAAUGCAGGAAGAAUAAACAACUUAAAAACCAACCAUGUGGUUUGAAUGUCAUUGACUACUGCACGAAUGUACUUUUUUUGUAACUUGACACUGAUGAACAAAUUAAAAUGCAGUAUGAGAGGUGGUGUACUGUUGAA